CACCACUGCUUCCACUGAACACAGCACCACUUCAAAUAAACCUCCUACCAAAUUAGCAACCUUCACCACUUCUGUAGAACCCUAUACAACUUCCACAGAAUUAACCACAAAAACCAUCAUUACUUCCACAGAACCCACCACAGUAGCAAUGACCAAUAUUUCCACAGAACCCACCACCACAGUUUCAAUGAUUACUUCCACAGAGUCCACCACCACAGCAGCAAUAUUCACUUCUAAAGAAUCCACCUCCAUAGCAACCACCAGUACUUUCACAGAAAUUCCAACCAUAGAUAUUAUCAAUACUAGUACAGAACUCACCACAAGAGCAGUCACUGCUUCCACUGUGCCCACCACCACCACUUCUACAGAGCCUAACACCACAAUGGUAACCAUUAACACUUCCAGAGAACCCUAUUCCACAUCCACAGAAUCCACCACAGUAACCAUAUUUACCUCUACAGAACCCACCACAAUAGCAAAUACCAUGAAUUCUACAUCAUUUACCACCAAAAUGGGAACAAUUAUUUCCACAGAGCCCACUACAGCAACUACCACUUCAUCUGAACCUACCACCACAACUGAAAGCUUCACCACUUCCAUGGAAGCCUAUGCUACUUCCACAGGAUCCGCCAAAAUAGCAACCACUAACACUUCCAUUUAUCCCACCAUCACUUCAACAGAGUCUACCACUAUACCAACCAUGACUAUAUCCACAGACUCCCCCACCACAAACAUCACCACUAUAGAACCUACCAUAGGAGCAACUAACACAGAUUUCACCAAUCCCACUUCCACAGCAAUCGCUACUUCAACUGAAUCUAUCACCACAAUGGCCACAGAGCAAACCACAAGAGCAGUAAUCAUCGAUUCUACAGAACCCACCACCACAGCAACCCCAAUCACUUCAAAAGAACCUACCACCACAACAUCAACCAUCACCACUUCCAGAGAAUCCACCAUCACAUCAGCACCCAUCAGUUUUACAGCACCCACUGCUACAGCAACAUUCACUACUUUACUAGAGUUCUCUACCACACCAACCAGCAUUAAUACUACAGAAUCAACCAUGCCAACAAUCACAACCCCUUCUACUGAACCUACUACCACACCAGCAAUAACCUCUUCCAUAAAAUCAACCACCAGAACAGCAACCACCAUCACUUCCACAGAACCCUACACCACUUCCACUGAGUCUACCACAGCAAACACCAUUACUUCCAUAGAGCCCACCACCACAGCAACCACCACUACAUCUGCAGAAUCCCACACCAGGGCAAAACUCAUCACUACUAUAGAACUCAUCAGCAAAGCAAUAACCACCACUUCAACUGAAUCUACCACUGCAUUAGGAACCACCACCACCUCCACAGAACCCACAACCAGAGAAAACAUCUUCACUUCUAGAGAAUCCUCUACCAUAUCAGCCACAAUCACUGUAAGUGAACCCACCACCACAGCAACCACCAAUUCCACUGAACCUAGCACCAAGAUAGUAACUAUCACCACUUCCACAGAACCCUAUGACACUACCACAGAAUCCACUACCACAACAGCACCCAUCACUCCCAAAGAACCUGACACAAUAGCAACUACCACCAUUUCCACAGAACCCAUUGCCACAAGAGCACCCAUCACUCCCAAAGAACCUGCCACAAUAGCAACUACCACCAUUUCCACAGAACCCAUUGCCACAAGAGCAACCAUCACUUCCACAGAACCUGACACUACAGUAGACAUCACUACUUCCACAGAAUUACCCAACACAGCAACCAUCACCAGUACUACAGUACCCAUCACAUCAGCCACUACCCCUGCUCCCACUAAAUAUGUAACCCCAGCAACCAUAAUCACUUCAACUGAACCUACCACCACAGCAGGAACCAUCACCUCCCCCACAGAACCCACCACCAGAGCAACAAUAUUUUCAUCUAGAAAAUCAUCUGCCACCACAACCACAACCACUGUAACUGAACCCACUACCACAGCAACCACCAAUUCCACUGAACUUACCACAAUAGCAACUAUCCCCAUUUCCACAGAAUCCACCACCACAACAGCAGCUAUCACUUACACAGAACCUGCCACAAUAGCAAGCACAACUAUUUCCACAGAACCCAUUGCCACAACAGCAACCAUCACUUCCACAGAGCCUGCCACUACAGUAGCCAUCACUACCUCCACAGAAUUCCCCAACACAGCAACCAUCAUCAGUACUACAGAACCCACCACAACAGCAACCACUCCUGCUCCCACUGAACACAUAACCACAGCAACCAUCAUCACUUCAAAUGAACCUCCCCCAGCAACAGGAACCACUACAACUUCCACAGAAUCAACCACAAGAGAAGCAAUAGCCACUUCUACAGAAUCUACCACCACAGCAACCACCAGUACUGCAACUGAACUUACCACCACAAAAGCAGCCACUACCACUUUAACAGAACCUACCAUCUCAUCAGCACCCAUCAGUUCCAUAGCACCCACUGCUGCAGCCAUCAGUACUUCAUCAGAACCCUCCACCACAGCAAACAGUAUCAAUACUACAGAAACCACUGGAACAAAAAUCACCACCCCUUCAACCCAACUCACUGCCAUAGCAGCAACAACCACUUCCAUAAAAUCUACCACCAGAACAGCAACCAUUACCACUCCCACAGAACCCUAUACCACUACCAUUGACUCUACCACAGCAACCAUCAUUACUUCCAUAGAGCCCACCACUAUAGCAACCACUUCCACAGAAUCCCACACCACAGAAACAAUAAUCACUACUACCAAACUCACCACCAAAGAAAUCGCCACCACUUUAACUGAACCUACCACCACAACUGGAACUACCACAACCUCCAAAGAACCCUCUACAAGAACAACAGUCAGUUCUACAGAACUGACCACCAUAUCAACUAUGACUGCUCUAACUGAACCCAGUAGCACUGCAACUACUACAACUUCUAAUGAAGCCACUACCACCACAGCAACCACCACCAAUUCCACUGAACCUACGACCACCACAGCAACCACCACUAUUUCCACAGAAGAUACCACCAUAACAGGACCCACUACCACUUUCAAAGAACCCACAACCACAGCAACUGCCACAACUUCUAAUGAAGGCACCACCACCACAGCAACCACCACUAUUUCCACUAAGCUCUAUCCUACUUCCAAAGAAUCCACCUCGAUAGCAACCACCACUACUACAGAAACCCCCACUGUAGCAACAAACACAACUUCUACUGAACCAGCCACAGUCACCACCACCACUAUUUCUACUGAACCCAUCAUCACAGCAGCAAUCAUUACAGAGCCCACCUCUACAGUAACCGUCACCUCUUCCACAAAAUUCCCCAACACAGCAACCAUCACUACGACUACAGAACCCACCACUUCUGCUGAACCUCCCACCACAACUCCAACCACCAGUCUUUGCAUGUAACCCAUCACAAUAGCAACCACCAGCAUUUCCACAGAACUCACUACUGUACCAAUUACCACAACUUCCACAAAAUUCACCACUACUGCAACCAUCAUCACUUCCACCACAGCAGCAACUAUUGCUUCUACAGAAUACACCUCCACACCAACUACCACUAUUUAUACAGAAUUUCCCACUCCAGCAAUUAUCAACACUAGUACAUAACCCAUCACAAUAACAAUCACUACAAGUAUUUUCACAAACUCCACUACCACAGCAACCACUUUCAGCAUUUUCACAGAACCCACUAUCACAACAGAAUUCACAACCUCUUCAACAGUACCCAUGCCUUCAGCAAAAGAGCCCACCUACCAACACAAUAUCAGCAGAAAUUACCUCCACAGUUCCUACCAAAGUUACUACUCAAAUUAUAAUCAGCCCUCCCUCCACCAUAUUGCCCAAUACAACUCUCCGUGUUUACAACUCCCAAACUACAUCCACCUGUAUGAAUUUAAAGAGUUCUGGGAAUAAAUUCCUUUAAUUUCUUGUUUGGAGAUGUGAAAAAUUAUUUUCUAAACUUCUCUGAGAUCUUAUGUAAAAUGAACUUCAAUUAUUUCAAUGGAA
ensembl:lncRNA